rnacentral:rRNA from 1 species
AACGCGAAGAACCUUACCAAGACUUGACAUCCCGCUGACCGCUCUAGAGAUAGAGUUUCUCUUCGGAGCAGCGGUGACAGGUGGUGCAUGGUUGUCGUCAGCUCGUGUCGUGAGAUGUUGGGUUAAGUCCCGCAACGAGCGCAACCCCUAUGUUGUGUUGCUACCAUUUAGUUGAGCACUUACAACAGACUGCCGGUGACAAACCGGAGGAAGGCGGGGAUGACGUCAAAUCAUCAUGCCCCUUAUGUCUUGGGCUACACACGUGCUACAAUGGACGGUACAAAGGGUUGCGAAGCCGCGAGGUGAAGCCAAUCCCAGAAAGCCGUUCGUAGUUCGGAUUGCAGGCUGCAACUCGCCUGCAUGAAGCCGGAAUUGCUAGUAAUCGCGGAUCAGCAUGCCGCGGUGAAUUCGUUCCCGGGCCUUGUACACACCGGUAUCUC